rnacentral:misc_RNA from 1 species
AGACUAAAUGCAUACUCAACAGUAAGGAUUUUAAUUUUAGCACUUCAUUGUGCUCUUCUAGCUUUACUUCAAUACUUAGAAAAUGAGUGCAUUGAUAAAACUCAUAAAGUAGGUUUUGUUUAUGCUAGUUUCAUAAUUUCUUAUCUGAAAUGGUGUUAAAUUAAUUGAUGACUGACCAGCAACUGCCUUCUGGGUAAUCUUUAUUGCUAGGGUAGGCCUCCUGUUAUCAAGAAUUCCAUGGAUUUAUUGGCCAAUACUCCUCAGACCUAACUAUGAUGCUUGUACAUCAGUAGGUUCAUCAUGGGUGGCUCUCCUUAUUUGGGUUUUAAGGCAGCCUUAGAUGUUCCUUGACUUGAGGUCAUUUCUGACCUUUUAGUUUAAAAAUCAAGAUUCAGUUCAUAAACUGACUAGGAACCUAGGAAUUGAUUAAGCUAUUUGGAGACAUGUACUGCUAGAUGUUCAUAAACUGCUAGAUGGAGACAUGUAGCAGAAUAAUUGAAUGGUUGUGUUCAAAAGAUCAUCCUUAUAAAGGUCAGCAGCAUAUUUUAGUAGUCCUUAACCUCUGAGUUCCACUUUAUCACCUUGUUCUUGUUGUAUUUAAGAGUGUUGCUUUGUUAUCCUUGUCUUUAUCUGUGAUACCAAUGCACUAAUUAGAUAGGAAUGUCAUGGAUAAAUUAGUGAUAUGUGUCAUCAGGUACCCUCAUUUGUAAUUGUCAGUUUGUCAUUUUCAGGUACCUGUUGAUCAUGUUGACCA